rnacentral:rRNA from 1 species
GCUAAAAACCCCGACUUCGGGAGGGGUGUAUUUAUUAAAUAAAAAACCAAUGCCCUUCGGGGCUCUUUGGUGAGUCAUAAUAACUUAACGGAUCGCAUGGCCUUGCGCCGGCGACGGUUCAUUCAAAUUUCUGCCCUAUCAACUUUCGAUUGUAGGGUAGUGGCCUACAAUGGUUUCAACGGGUGACGGGGGAUUAGGGUUCGAUUCCGGAGAGGGAGCCUGAGAAACGGCUACCACAUCCAAGGAAGGCAGCAGGCGCGCAAAUUACCCAAUCCCGACACGGGGAGGUAGUGACAAUAAAUACUGAUACAGGGCUCUUUUGGGUCUUGUAAUUGGAAUGAGUACAAUUUAAAUCCCUUAACGAGGAACAAUUGGAGGGCAAGUCUGGUGCCAGCAGCCGCGGUAAUUCCAGCUCCAAUAGCGUAUAUUAAAGUUGUUGCAGUUAAAAAGCUCGUAGUUGAACCUUGGGCCUGGCUGGCCGGUCCGCCUCACCGCGUGCACUGGUCCGGCCGGGCCUUUCCUUCUGGAGAACCGCAUGCCCUUUACUGGGUGUGUCGGGGAACCAGGACUUUUACUUUGAAAAAAUUAGAGUGUUCAAAGCAGGCCUUUGCUCGAAUACGUUAGCAUGGAAUAAUAGAAUAGGACGUGCGGUCCUAUUUUGUUGGUUUCUAGGACCGCCGUAAUGAUUAAUAGGGAUAGUCGGGGGCAUCAGUAUUCAAUUGUCAGAGGUGAAAUUCUUGGAUUUAUUGAAGACUAACUACUGCGAAAGCAUUUGCCAAGGAUGUUUUCAUUAAUCAGUGAACGAAAGUUAGGGGAUCGAAGACGAUCAGAUACCGU